rnacentral:rRNA from 1 species
AGGGACAGCAGCAGCCGCGGGAAUACGAAGGGUGCAAGCGUUAAUCGGAAUUACUGGGCGUAAAGCGUGCGUAGGCGGUGAGUUAAGUCUGCUGUGAAAUCCCCGGGCUCAACCUGGGAAUGGCAGUGGAUACUGGCUCGCUAGAGUGUGUCAGAGGAUGGUGGAAUUCCCGGUGUAGCGGUGAAAUGCGUAGAGAUCGGGAGGAACAUCAGUGGCGAAGGCGGCCAUCUGGGACAACACUGACGCUGAGGCACGAAAGCGUGGGGAGCAAACAGGAUUAGAUACCCCCGUAGCCCUGUCUCUUAUACA